rnacentral:rRNA from 1 species
UUUAAAGUCUAAUCUGCCCUAUGAGGUAUUAAAUGGCCGCGGUAUUUUGACCGUGCAAAGGUAGCAUAAUAAUUAGUUUUUUAAUUGAAAGCUGGAAUGAAUGAUUGGACGAGAAAAUAGUUGUCUCAGUUUAAUUUUUUUAGAAUUUUAUUUUUAAGUAAAAAAGCUUAAAUUUUUUUAAAAGACGAGAAGACCCUAUAGAGUUUUAUAUAAAAUAGAUUAUAAUUUUUAUGGGGAUUAUAUAUUUAUAUUUUAUUUUAUAUUUUGUUGGGGUGAUGGAAAAAUUUGAUUAACUUUUUUUAAAAAUAGACAUUAAUUUAUGAUUAAAUGAUCCAAUUAUAUUGAUUAUAAGAUUAAAUUACCUUAGGGAUAACAGCGUAAUUUUUUUUUAGAGUUCUUAUCGAAAGAAAAGAUUGCGACCUCGAUGUUGGAUUAAAAUUAAUUUUUGGUGUAGAAGCUGAAUUAUUAGGUCUGUUCGACCUUUAAAAUUUUACA